GGGACCCGAGUCCUUGUCAAUUUUGUGUGUCAUGGCGUGCCCAGCACCUUGCAAUGUUGGUAUACAGAGAGUGCUCAGCAAACAUGUACCAAAUGCAUGGAGGAAUUAAUUUUCCAAACACAGACACGCUAUUACUGGUAAUAGACAGGACUGCUUAUUGCUGACCGAGCAGUGGGAGCCGGGGAGCGCAGGAGACGGCUGUACCCCGGGAACGCCGUGGCGAAGCACUUGGAAUACACGGAGGGUCCUGGCUGGAUGAAGAACUGGCAAGCGGUAGCAUGGCUGCUAUGCUUUAGAAUGGCAUCAGAGACCUUGGGCCAAGCCAGUGAUGACGGGAAACGAGUUUUGAAGGAGACUAUGUAUAUUUACUGGACACCUGUUAGGCUAGCAUGUGCUUAUUUAAUCCUCGCACAAACCCCUGAAUUAGACGGCAUUGCUUCGCUUUGAAAAUGAGAAAACUGAGACUCGAAGAGAAUGAUCUGCCUGUUGCUAGCAGGUGGUUUCUCUAGGCUCUCAAUCCGAGUCUUCUUGAUCCUACAGCCGUCACUUUCCCAACCACUCCACACGGACUCAGAACACCUGGCUGGAUGGACUAUUUAACAGGGGUUAAUGGGCAUCAGGAAGACGGGGGCCAGCACUGGAAUUAGGAUGGAGAAGACGGUGCGUAAUUACAGAGAAGUCGAGGUGCCCGAUUUGAUGGAGUCUGUUCUGUCUUAACCACCGGCAGGGGACGAUGCGCUUCCCAGAGGGCAUCGAGGAGAACUUGUGAGUUGGGUCUAGUAACAAAGAGAAUUCUGAUAGCAUGGCCCCACCAUUUCCAGCGUAUCCUCUUUAAUGUUUUUUGUACUUCAUUUGGCUUGUUCUUUGCUCUUCGGCCUUUUUAGCACUUGCCGAAAGAGUUACUGCACGAGGUCAGCUUUGCUACAGGACUGGAUGUGAUGCACCGGACGUCUCAGUGAGGGAGCACCAGCUACACUUGCCCUCGAAAGAGAGGCGGGCGAGAGGCUGGGGGAGAAGAAAGGCUGAUGCGUGGAAGAAUGGAGGGACCACUUCAGUGAAUUCUCUUGGUUAUCCAAAUAAGG